rnacentral:rRNA from 1 species
AAAAGUUGGGGAGACCUGACGCUGAAAGAUGGACUCGCGUCCCAUUAGCUAGUUGGUAGGGUAAUGGCCUACCAAGGCGACGAUGGGUAGCCGGCCUGAGAGGGUGGCCGGCCACACUGGGACUGAGACACGGCCCAGACUCCUACGGGAGGCAGCAGUGGGGAAUUUUGCGCAAUGCUCGUAAGAGUGACGCAGCGACGCCGCGUGAAUGACGAAGGCCUUCGGGUCGUAAAGUUCUUUCGACAGGGAAGAAAAUGCCUAUAAGUAACUGUGUAUGUAUUGACGGUACCUGUAUAAGCAGCCCCGGCUAACUCCGUGCCAGCAGCCGCGGUAAUACGGAGGGGGCGAGCGUUGUUCGGAGUGACUGGGCGUAAAGAGCACGUAGGCGGUGUUGUAAGUCAUUAGUCAAAGACUAGAGCUCGACUUUAGUAAGGCUAGUGAUACUAUAAUACUAGAGUAUCAGAGAGGAUUGCAGAAUUCCUGGUGUAGCGGUGAAAUGCGUAGAUAUCAGGAGGAAUACCGUUAGCGAAGGCGGCAAUCUGGCUGGAAACUGACGCUGAGGUGCGAAAGCGUGGGUAGCAAACAGGAUUAGAUACCCUGGUAGUCCACGCUGUAAACGAUGGAUGCUAGGUGUUGGGCUUUUAAGUUCA